rnacentral:rRNA from 1 species
UACGAAGGGAGCUAGCGUUGUUCGGAAUCACUGGGCGUAAAGCGCACGUAGGCGGAUUUGUCAGUCAGGGGUGAAAUCCCGGGGCUCAACCUCGGAACUGCCUUUGAUACAGCAAGUCUUGAGUUCGAGAGAGGUGGGUGGAAUUCCUAGUGUAGAGGUGAAAUUCGUAGAUAUUAGGAAGAACACCGGUGGCGAAGGCGACUCGCUGGACAAGUAUUGACGCUGAGGUGCGAAAGCGUGGGGAGCAAACAGG